rnacentral:rRNA from 1 species
GAUGAACGCUGGCGGCGUGCCUAAUACAUGCAAGUCGAGCGAACAGACGAGGAGCUUGCUUCUCUGACGUUAGCGGCGGACGGGUGAGUAACACGUGGAUAACCUACCUAUAAGACUGGGAUAACUUCGGGAAACCGGAGCUAAUACCGGAUAAUAUAUUGAACCGCAUGGUUCAUUAGGAAAAGACGGUUUUGCGGUAACUUAUAGAUGGAUCCGCGCCGCAUUAGCUAGUUGGUAAGGUAACGGCUUACCAAGGCAACGAUGCGUAGCCGACCUGAGAGGGUGAUCGGCCACACUGGAACUGAGACACGGUCCAGACUCCUACGGGAGGCAGCAGUAGGGAAUCUUCCGCAAUGGGCGAAAGCCUGACGGAGCAACGCCGCGUGAGUGAUGAAGGUCUUCGGAUCGUAAAACUCUGUUAUUAGGGAAGAACAAAUGUGUAAGUAACUAUGCACGUCUUGACGGUACCUAAUCAGAAAGCCACGGCUAACUACGUG